rnacentral:piRNA from 1 species
UGCUAUGUCAGAAGCAUAAGCGUGUU